UACAGAGGUCCCAAGCGUUGUUCGGAUUCAUUGGGCGUAAAGGGUGCGUAGGCGGCGCGGUAAGUCGGGUGUGAAAUCUCGGGGCUUAACUCCGAAACUGCAUUCGAUACUGCCGUGCUUGAGGACUGGAGAGGAGACUGGAAUUUACGGUGUGGCGGUGAAAUGCGUAGAUAUCGUAAGGAAGACCAGUGGCGAAGGCGGGUCUCUGGACAGUUCCUGACGCUGAGGCACGAAGGUCAGGGGGAGCAAACGGG
rnacentral:rRNA from 1 species